CAGUCGCCGCGGUAAUACGAAGGGGGCUAGCGUUGUUCGGAUUUACUGGGCGUAAAGGGCGCGUAGGCGGGCGAUUAAGUCAGGGGUGAAAUCCCAAGGCUCAACCUUGGAACUGCCUUUGAUACUGAUUGUCUUGAGUUCGAGAGAGGUAAGUGGAACUGCGAGUGUAGAGGUGAAAUUCGUAGAUAUUCACAAGAACACCAGUGGCGAAGGCGGCUUACUGGCUCGAUACUGACGCUGAGGCGCGAAAGCGUGGGGAGCAAACAGGAUUAGAGACCCGCGUAGUCCCUGUCUCUUAUAC
rnacentral:rRNA from 1 species